rnacentral:lncRNA from 1 species
UUGAACUCCUGACCUCAAGUGAUCCGCCCAUCUCAGCCUUCCAAAGUGCUGGGAUUACAGGUGUGAGCCACCUGCCUGGCCUGUUGUUUUAUUUUUAAGACAGGGUCUCACUCUGUCGCCCAGGCGGGAGCGCAGUGGUGCGAUCUCGGGUCACUGCAGCCUCUGCCUACUGGGCUGAAGUGAUCCUCCUCAGCCUCCUAAGUAGCUGCGACUACAGGCACGCAUCACCAUGCCUGGGUUACUUUUUGUAUUUUUUCUAGAGACAGGGUUUUGUCAUGUUGCCUAGGCUGGUCUCAAACUCCUGGGCUCAAACAAUCCUCCCACCUCAGCGUCCCAAAGUGCUGAGAUUACAGGCCUGAGCCACCAUGCGCAGCCUUUAUUUCGUUUUUUUUCUCUUCAGCAACACUGUUCAUGGAAUUAUACCCUUCUUGGAAGCCACUGUAUAGUAUUCCUAUUUGAGGUUCACUUGUUCAGUCUACACACUUAUGAGCUGAAGAGGUUGCCCGCCCUCUUGUGGCCAUUAUGCACCACUGCUGGAGUUGCUGUGUGGAACCUCCAAGCUCAAAUAAAACAUGGCCUUCUAAAGACCAGCCCCCGUCAGUGCGCAGAAAGGCUAGUGAGUCAGACCUAAAGAGGGCAUAGACUUGCCCAGCAUCACCCAUUGUAAAGUUGUGGCGACGUCCAGGUCAGAAAACCCAGAUCACAAGCCCACAUGCCCACAGCUCCAUCACUUGGCCAGUCAACACCACUGAAGCCCAAAGGGACUGAAAGCAAUUUUGCCCCUGUUACAAUGUUUGCAUUCUCACCUCUUCCUAAAGAGGCAGCUUAGUCUUUAGAGGAAGAGCUGCAGGAAAGAAAACCCUGGGCCUGGACUGGAUGAAGGGGUGAAGGAUGCACUAGUCUGGAUCACAGAUAGGAGGAAAAAUCAAUCCUGGACCCACCAUUUUUCUGGGAAGGAGGGCUAGUAGCUCCAGACAUCAUAGGAACAGAGCUCAGCUUCUCUCUAACUAGACUUUUCUGGCUUAUAGGGUACAGCUGUUUGGGAGCUCAAAGAAGGAGAAGGUAAGAAAAAGGAGAGAAAUGCAGAGAGAGGAGAGGAUGGGAUGAAAACAGGGUGUGGAAAAUAUCAGAGGGUGCAUACUGCCCUCAAGUGCACUGGGGGCUUUUGUCCGGGGUCAGAGUAAAGACAAAGAAGAGGCUGCUCAUGGAAGCUGCAGAAACAGUGCCUGGGGGGAUAAGCGGGGGCGGUGCUGGCUGAGACAAGAGACCAUGGGAGUGGGCAUUGUAAAGACCUGCAUUUAUUUAUUUUAUUUAUUUAUUUAUUUAUUUUGAGACAGGGUCUCACUCUGUCGCCCAGACUGGAGCGCAGUGGCAUGAUCUCGGCUCACCGCAACCUCC